ACCAAUGAGGAACAAAGAACAAGUAAUGAGCCAUUGAGGGUCGAGUUCCUUGGUGGUAGCAAGUACGUAGAGUGCAUCUCAAGGGCGAUGUUAACCUUGGGAUGCGUGCCAAAAGAAAAAAAUGGAAACAAAAUUUCAUCUUUCUCCUUCCUUCUUCGUGACCACUCUAUCUCUCUCUCCCUCACCAGUUGCCAGCAGCCCAAAUGCCAAACUCCGGCCGUCGCUCGGGUUCCGUCGUCAUCGCGCCACUCUUCCGACGCCCAGCUCGUGUCUUCGUCGUCGCACAAAAUCCUCGUCAGAUCUCACUGACCGCUCGAUUUCGUGUUAUACGCUAGCCACUCGAGUCUGUCGCUGCCCAAGUCGAACGCCACGGUUUCGCCUGCACCAUUGUGUUUACAUCACCGCCACUCACCGGAUCUACUAGUUGGAUUUGAUGUUUCGAGGGGUCUUAAGGCUGUUGUCUAAUGGAUCGGUAUCGAUUCUGGUAAGUUUUGUGUAGGAUACUUGAAGUAUUUCCAUUACCCAUUAAAUGUUGGUUUCAAAUCUUUGAUGCCGUUGAAGAUUGGGACAAAGUUUUGAAAUUGGAGACGUGUUGUCCAACGGUAUCAAGGACCGAUUUUGGGCGAAUUUUGUAAGUUUUUUAGGCUUUUCGAUUCGUGAAGUUGGGUUUAAUUGAGAUAAAUUAAGUUGUUAAUGCUUGGUUCAAAGUUUAUGCUUAGGCUGGGUGCUUGGUGAUUUUUUUUUUUUUUUUUCGUUUAGAGUGGUUUUGGAUUAAACCACACUCUGGGUAAGGAUAUUUGGAAUUGUCUGAAAUUAAUUUGGCGAUAUUUACAUCAUUUGGUGAAUAGAAUUAGGCUUCUAAACUAAUUUUGCGAAUGCAUUUAGGUUUGAUGGUUAAAAUUAGAAUUAUUUUGCCUUGUCCUAGGACCUAACACCAAGUUUGAAAAAAGCUAGAAAAAAGAUUCCUUUAAUGGGUUUAUUUUGCUA